GAUGAACGCUGGCGGCGUGCCUAAUACAUGCAAGUCGAGCGAACGGACGAGAAGCUUGCUUCUCUGAUGUUAGCGGCGGACGGGUGAGUAACACGUGGAUAACCUACCUAUAGACUGGGAUAACUUCGGGAAACCGGAGCUAAUACCGGAUAAUAUUUUGAACCGCAUGGUUCAAAAGUGAAAGACGGUCUUGCUGUCACUUAUAGAUGGAUCCGCGCUGCAUUAGCUAGUUGGUAAGGUAACGGCUUACCAAGGCAACGAUGCAUAGCCGACCUGAGAGGGUGAUCGGCCACACUGGAACUGAGACACGGUCCAGACUCCUACGGGAGGCAGCAGUAGGGAAUCUUCCGCAAUGGGCGAAAGCCUGACGGAGCAACGCCGCGUGAGUGAUGAAGGUCUUCGGAUCGUAAAACUCUGUUAUUAGGGAAGAACAUAUGUGUAAGCAACUGUGCACAUCUUGACGGUACCUAAUCAGAAAGCCACGGCUAACUACGUG
rnacentral:rRNA from 1 species